UAUUUAUGCAAUCCUCUAUAAAUAACAACAAAAGAUAACGAUCUUAAACAGGUUAAAAUGAGGAUGCCGAUGAAAAGUUCACUUUCAUUACAUUUUUUGUGUAUAAAAUUGAUUAUGAUCGUUGCCAUCAUCACUUCUGUGAUGACAAAAAGCAGUAGUAUUGGUGAACACUCAAUUGCCCCUCCAAAAUGUACCAAACAUGAUUGGAAAAGUACGAAAUUCAGCGGGGAUUGCGAUGUACGUUACCUUCAAAAGAAUUAAAAUGUUUUUAUACCUGUAGAGAUGAAGGUGCAAAAACAGGAAGAUGUACGGCUUACUCAUGGUGUAUGUGUAUCUGCGAAUAUUAACAUAUUAACGGGUUAAACAAUAUUAGAUAUUUUAAAAUACAAGUUUUACAUGUGGUAUAAUAUGAGAUUAUAUUCUUAUCUAGAUGUGAACCAACUACCACAAAUCAUAAGUUGUUAUAUAAUCUUGGAUAAUUACUAUGCAUGAUAACAAACAUUAUAUAUUUUUGUGGGGCUCUUGGCAUAUAAAUAAAUAGACAGCUGCAACCAAACUACUUGCUUCUCAUUUAUGCUCUAUUCCCCAUUCAUCACCACCUUCUUUUUCUCAACAAAAUUCUGAGAAUCUUUCUUUAAAUUCACUCAUUUAUUUUGCAUAUUCUAUAUCCUUACAAUUUCAAAGGAGUUAUACAGUAAUUUAUUAUUAUAUUUAAAAUGUUUUUAAAAUCAUAAAUCUAUACAUUAGUUAUAAUAAGAUUUUAAUAAAAAUGGUUUUAUCUUUUUCCAAAUGAAUUUUGAAAUUCACACUAGCUCGGUUUAUUAUGAUUUGUGUUCGAUUCCUGCUAGCUAGACAAUUUUUUUCCAUUUUUUAUGUUUUUGUCUGAUGUAAUGUUUGAGCUUAAAUAAAUAAUUCGUUCUAUAUAAUUAUAUUAUAUCCAUAUAUUAAUCCUUCUAUAUUUCUUUUAUUAUUCCUUAUAUUCCAUUUAAUCUAUUUAUACUUAUAUUUUAAGUUGUAAUUACAAAUAUCAUUUUUUUACGUUUUUAUAGUUUUUUGCGCAACUUUCAUUGAAAAUGAAGUAGUAUACGCAAUAGAGUAUAUUUUUUAUAUUGUAAGAUAUUGCCAAUGUUAGCAUUGUACCAGUACCGUGACGAACGAAACUGAUUCCUUACCAAGAAUAUCGAUACCACGUGGAUUUCGACUAAACAAUAUUGAUGUUCUUGUCGGUACUAUUAGAACCGUUACUGGUACAUAGAUUGCGAUGUGCUUAUUUUUAUUUAUUUAAGUAUAUGUCUCAUUGAUAGUGAAGUUUUAUUCACAACAAAGUGUUUUUGGGAUCGUAAGUUAUAGCGAGUGUGGGUAUGGUACAGAAACCGUGACCAACCAAACUAAUACUGUCUCAACAAUAUCGGUAUCACGGCGAUUCCACUCGAACAACAUCAGUAUCGGUAUCAAUACAAUGUGAGUUGUUAGUAAUAUUCGUUUUUACAAUUUUCAUCAAUGUAAAACACGUAUCGUCAUCCUUUGGGUAUAUAAUGACUCUUUCUAUUGCUAUACUGAGUGGGUACCGUAUCAGUAUCGUAAGGAAUUAAACCGAUAUAGACUGAAUUCCCGCUGCAACGUGCGGGGACUCUUCCUAGUUUGUUACAAUAAAUUCAUAUUCUUGAAGUGCGACAAUAACCCAUCAAGCAUGAGGGAAAAUGAAGCUCAGAAGCUCAAUUUCAUGGUCAUUUUCUCACUUCUACUGAUUUUCUAAUCCCAAUUAUGUAUGUCAGUUGAAUGCACAAAAAAAAUCAAUAAUGAAGUCACUGGAAAAAAAAAGAUGUUGCCUUUUGGAAUGCGGCCGGAGUGUUCGUAAACCGUUGAAACUUACCAAAUUGCCAUGCCGAAGUAAGUCGGCUGCUUAGAGAUUUAUGUGAUUAGGGUUUUAUUAGUUUUUCGUGCCUUGGCGGUUUACUGGUGGUUUGGAACAUGGAACUGAAACUGUCGGUUAAUCUUUUUAUUUUAUCUAUUUUUUUUUUGGAAUAUUU